UACGUAGGGUGCAAGCGUUGUCCGGAAUUAUUGGGCGUAAAGAGCUCGUAGGCGGUCUGUCGCGUCGGCUGUGAAAACCCGAGGCUCAACCUCGGGCCUGCAGUCGAUACGGGCAAACUGGAGUGUUGCAGGGGAGACUGGAAUUCCUGGUGUAGCGGUGAAAUGCGCAGAUAUCAGGAGGAACACCGGUGGCGAAGGCGGGUCUCUGGGCAACAACUGACGCUGAGGCGCGAAAGCUAGGGGAGCAAACGGG
rnacentral:rRNA from 1 species